GGGCUUUGAGGUGGUAAAAUUCGUUGCGACCACACGCCGAUGGUAUGACAGGGGGAAACCCCGAGAGAUGCGGGAGAUGCGACGCCCGCCAAAGCCC
rnacentral:ncRNA from 12 species